rnacentral:rRNA from 1 species
AGUGAACGCUGGCGGUAGGCCUAACACAUGCAAGUCGAACGGCAGCACAGUAAGAGCUUGCUCUUACGGGUGGCGAGUGGCGGACGGGUGAGGAAUACAUCGGAAUCUACUUUUUCGUGGGGGAUAACGUAGGGAAACUUACGCUAAUACCGCAUACGACCUACGGGUGAAAGCAGGGGAUCUUCGGACCUUGCGCGAUUGAAUGAGCCGAUGUCGGAUUAGCUAGUUGGCGGGGUAAAGGCCACCAAGGCGACGAUCCGUAGCUGGUCUGAGAGGAUGAUCAGCCACACUGGAACUGAGACACGGUCCAGACUCCCACGGGAGGCAGCAGUGGGGAAUAUUGGACAAUGGGCGCAAGCCUGAUCCAGCCAUACCGCGUGGGUGAAGAAGGCCUUCGGGUUGUAAAGCCCUUUUGUUGGGAAAGAAAAGCAGCAGGUUAAUACCCCGCUGUUCUGACGGUACCCAAAGAAUAAGCACCGGCUAACUUCGUG